AGACAUUGUUAUGUAAUUAUCAUUCCUUUUGACAAUAUGUGGAUACCCCCUCCCAGCUAAAUGGAAAGAAGACAAGAAAACCUUUAUCCUAAUUCCUAAAAGAUUUGAAUAUUCUUAUAUUCUCACCAGAAUUGGAGUAUUAAUUCUAUUUUUUUUUAAAUAAAUUAUUUUAGAGGACCAUGAUGAAGCAUGGUUUUGUUUUUGUUGUUAAGCUGCCCUUAUCAUGGGUCCCUGUCUCUUUGAGCAUGUGUGGAUAAGCCACUUGCAGGUCAUUGUCAUUUAGUAUGAGGAAGAAAAAUCUAAUCUUUGCCUACUUUCAUUCUUCACCUUGAAAUUAGGAUUAAAUUUUAUUUCAGUUUUUUUUUAUUUAAUUUACCAUUUUAUCAAUGUGAGAAAAUAAAACUAAGAAAAAUAAAUAUUCACAGCAGUUUAAUGAAGGCUUGAAAAACGACUAACCUUAUAUUAUUAUAACCCACUCACUCCGACCUUAAUUAUAAGUAAAUUUUCACUUUUUAGAAUCAUUGAAUAACUAAUGUAUCUCAUCUUACUUAUAGACUAGAUACAUUAGUUAUCAAAUGAAUCUAAAAAAUAAUUUUUUUUAUAAUUAAGGCUAAAGAAAGUAUAAAUUCAUAUUAUUAAAAUACUAUUUUAGUAACAAUCAUUUACUUAAGAGCAGUAACUUGUCCACAAAUCUCAGCUCAACUGGUAGAAAUACCGAAAUUAAUAGUGUCAGACACCGGAACCAAAGUUCGAACCCCGGUCACUUCAAUGACUUUUGCCAUUUCGUCUAUAAAAAAAAAGAGCAGGUAACUUUUUUAGUAGCUUAGGAUGUUUAAUGAGAAGAUGAAAAAAAAAGUAUUUAUCAUAUAUAUUGAAUAAUUCUUCUAAUGAAGUUUUUCUUUGGCACAUAAGU
rnacentral:lncRNA from 1 species